rnacentral:rRNA from 1 species
CCUACGGGUGGCAGCAGUGAGGAAUAUUGGUCAAUGGACGAGAGUCUGAACCAGCCAAGUAGCGUGAAGGAUGACUGCCCUAUGGGUUGUAAACUUCUUUUAUAUGGGAAUAAAAUGUUCCACGUGUGGGAUUUUGUAUGUACCAUAUGAAUAAGGAUCGGCGAACUCCCUGCCAGCAGCCGCGGUAAUACGGAGGAGCCGGACGUUAUCCGGAUUUAUUGGGUUUAAAGGGAGCGUAGGUGGAUUGUUAAGUCAGUUGUGAAAGUUUGCGGCUCAACCGUAAAAUUGCAGUUGAAACUGGCAGUCUUGAGUACAGUAGAGGUGGGCGGAAUUCGUGGUGUAGCGGUGAAAUGCUUAGAUAUCACGAAGAACUCCGAUUGCGAAGGCAGUUCACUGGACUGCAACUGACACUGAGGCUCGAAAGUGUGGGUAUCAAACAGGAUUAGAUACCCCUGUAGUC